UCCUCUCUGUAGCUACGUACCCGAUGGGGAUUCCCUAGUGUUUUCUCCUCCCCAGUCAUUAAUGGUUAUCACUUUUUCUCUUUUCUUUUUCGGUAUAUUUGUGCGUAUCCUUUUCGGAGGACAUUUCUGUCUUUUUUCAGUACAAUGAACACUAGCACUCCCCCGUAGCUCCUAAGCAACAUGAUAACUAAAAGAAGUACAUUCUACUUACCCUUUCAAGAGCUGAUGCCCCUGCCGAGCUACGUUCUUUUACUGCCUCUAUCAUCGUUAGUAGGAUCACAACAACUAUCCAGCACAGUGUUAGCAUCAUUGUCUCGAAGGAGGGUCAUAGUGUACAGGGCCACCACUUUCAUGUUGGGAUUUUUCUUGAUGCUGUAUAAAUCGCCGUUUGCUGCAGAAGAAUGUUGAUUGGAGUAAUGCCAAACAAAUCAAUCUUAAAUAUAAUGAACUGAAAGGCGAGAUCCCGAACACAGGACUUGAAGCAGCUGGGCUUGUGGAAAGAAGUGUUUACUUACUUGGUGGGGCUAGGGUCCUGUUCUGGUGAUUGUUGAAUACCGGUAGUACUUCUGAAUUAAUAGACUUAUAUAAGAAUUCAUAUAGUAGGGAGUCUCUGUAAGGUAGUUCGUAUAGUCCUAUACACGAUAUCUGCUAGCUUCAGACGAGGUCAAGUAAAAAGUUGCGGUAUAGUUUCGGGUUCGAGAGAAUGAAAAAGAAUCAUGAGCUAGGUAUUCUAGUUCAAUUACUAUAUGAGGAUAUAUGAGGAGUAGUGGUAAGUCACUCAAUAGUUCACUUCUUUCGUGUAGUGUUCCUUCUUGACCCACCCUAGUUAUCUUUCUCGCCUCGCCAAUAAACCUAGAAAGUGGGAGUUGCCCUCCAUCUCGCCAACCCCAUGUGCUCUCGGCUAUGAAACUCCAUUCUGUAAUUCCGACUUUCAAGAGAGGAAGAGUCGAGUUCACCUGAGUGAGAUUAGAUGAUAGCCAGAGGAGAUAGACAAAUACUUCUUGAAACAAGCUGCUUUCUUCUAUCCCUCAGGUUCCUGCACUGAUCUGGUUUACUGACGUAGUUUACUUACUUGCUAGUUAGGGUCGGGUGCUUGUGUUAAGCAUAGAAGAAAUCUAUCUCGUUUAUCUACUCGGCCCCUACUAUUAUCUAGAUUAUCUUUAUAUAGGUGAACGGAAUAUCACAUCAUAUAGGAGAAAGUUUAGAAAGAGAGAAGUGCUGUGCUGUGUUCGGGAACUACUGCUUCCAAGCCUGAUGCGGUGUCUACUGAUGCUUUAGGUAUUGGUACUC
rnacentral:lncRNA from 1 species